rnacentral:rRNA from 1 species
AGUGAACGCUGGCGGUAGGCCUAACACAUGCAAGUCGAACGGCAGCACAGGAGAGCUUGCUCUCUAGGUGGCGAGUGGCGGACGGGUGAGGAAUACAUCGGAAUCUGCCCAGUCGUGGGGGAUAACGUAGGGAAACUUACGCUAAUACCGCAUACGACCUUCGGGUGAAAGAGGGGGAUCGCAAGACCUCUCGCGAUUGGAUGAGCCGAUGUCGGAUUAGCUAGUUAGCGGGGUAAUGGCCCACCAAGGCGACGAUCCGUAUCUGGUCUGAGAGGAUGAUCAGCCACACUGGAACUGAGACACGGUCCAGACUCCUACGGGAGGCAGCAGUGGGGAAUAUUGGACAAUGGGCGCAAGCCUGAUCCAGCCAUACCGCGUGGGUGAAGAAGGCCUUCGGGUUGUAAAGCCCUUUUGUUGGGAAAGAAAUCUUUCAGGCUAAUACCCUGGGAGGAUGACGGUACCCAAAGAAUAAGCACCGGCUAACUUCGUG